rnacentral:rRNA from 1 species
GAUGAACGCUGGCGGCGUGCCUAAUACAUGCCAGUCGAGCGAACGGACGAGAAGCUUGCUUCUCUGAUGUUAGCGGCGGACGGGUGAGAAACACGUGGAUAACCUACCUAUAAGACUGGGAUAACUUCGGGAAACCGGAGCUAAUACCGGAUAAUAUUUUGAACCGCAUGGUUCAAAAGUGAAAGACGGUCUUGCUGUCACUUAUAGAUGGAUCCGCGCUGCAUUAGCUAGUUGGUAAGGUAACGGCUUACCAAGGCAACGAUGCAUAGCCGACCUGAGAGGGUGAUCGGCCACACUGGAACUGAGACACGGUCCAGACUCCUACGGGAGGCAGCAGUAGGGAAUCUUCCGCAAUGGGCGAAAGCCUGACGGAGCAACGCCGCGUGAGUGAUGAAGGUCUUCGGAUCGUAAAACUCUGUUAUUAGGGAAGAACAUAUGUGUAAGUAACUGUGCACAUCUUGACGGUACCUAAUCAGAAAGCCACGGCUAACUACGUG